ACACCAUGGAAGCUGGCAACGCCCGAAGUCAUUACUCCAACCAUUCGUGGGGGAGGAUGCCUAAGGCAGUGCUGGUGACUGGGGUGAAGUCGUAACAAGGUAGCCGUACCGGAAGGUGUGGCUGGAUCACCUCCUUUUAGGGAGACCUACCCAACUUUGAAAUCGAGGACACACAGUUAAUAGAUACAAAGAUGGUCAUUCCUAGGUCGGUCGCAGGGACUUGUUGAAGCUUUCAAACUAUGAUUUGGUUCGUUUAUGGGCUAUUAGCUCAGGUGGUUAGAGCGCACCCCUGAUAAGGGUGAGGUCCCUGGUUCGAGUCCAGGAUGGCCCACCUGAAUCAAUGCAAAAUUAAAAAUUCAAAAUUCAAAAUUAAGAAAUUGUUUUUGAACUUUGCAUUUAGAAUUUUGAAUUGUGUUGGGGGGUUUAGCUCAGUUGGUAGAGCGCCUGCUUUGCAAGCAGGAUGUCAGCGGUUCGAGUCCGCUAACCUCCACCUUGAUAGCGUUAGCUAUAAAAAGAAUGGAUUAGAUUCAGCAACAAGGCUGUGAGCCAGACUGCUGGGUUAGUUAUCCAGCCAGAACCUUGAAAACUGCAUAGGAAUGCGAAGCAGGCAGACACAGACAUUGAUUAUUGGAAGUGUUUGCAAUGAAUAGUGGUCAAGCUAAUAAGAGCUGACGGU
rnacentral:misc_RNA from 1 species